UCUCCGUUGGUGAACCAGCGGAGGGAUCAUUACCGAGUGCAAACUCAUAACCCUUUGUGAACCUAUAUCUGUUGCUUCGGCGGCUCGCUCUCGGGCGAGCCCGCCGGGAAUAUCAGUAUCUCUGUUUGAACCCGACGAUACUUCGGAGUGUUCUUAGCGAACAGUUAAAACUUUUAACAACGGAUCUCUUGGCUCUA
rnacentral:misc_RNA from 1 species